UUAACGAGUUGAACGGGGUUGUAGCUGGCCUUCACGGGCAUGUGCACACCUCACUCAUCCACUCUACACCUGUGCACUUACUGUGGGUUUCGAGAGGCCGCGCUUGCGUGGUUGAUCGGGCUCACGUCUAUUACAAACUCUUCAGUAUCAGAAUGUGUAUCGCGAUGUAACGCAUCUAUAUACAACUUUCAGCAACGGAUCUCUUGACUCUCGCAUCGAUGAAGAACGCAGCGGAAUGCGAUAAGUAAUGUGAAUUGCAGAAUUCAGUGAAUCAUCGAAUCUUUGAACGCACCUUGCGCUCCUUGGUAUUCCGAGGAGCAUACCUGUUUGAGUGUCGUGUAAUUCUCAACCUAUAAAUCCUUGUGGUUUUUAGGCUUGGACUUGGAGGCUUUUGCUGGCUUUACGGUCGGCUCCUCUUAAACGCAUUAGCUUGACUCCUUGCGGAUCGGCUCUCAGUGUGAUAAUUAUCUGCGCUGUGACCGUGAAGCGUUUGGCAAGCUUCUAACCGUCUCUUUGAGACAAACACUUUGACAUCUGACCUCAAAUCAGGUAGGACUACCCGCUGAACUUAA
rnacentral:rRNA from 1 species